UAUAGUCCCCACCAUGGAUAUGUUAGUAAAUAGUUGUAACUUCCGAUCUGAACAACUAUUUACCAACAUAUCCCUGGUGGGGAUUAUA